rnacentral:rRNA from 1 species
UACGAAGGGGGCUAGCGUUGUUCGGAAUUACUGGGCGUAAAGCGCACGCAGGCGGAUCGAUAAGUCAGGGGUGAAAUCCCGGGGCUCAACCUCGGAAUUGCCUUUGAUACUGUCGAUCUCGAGUCCGGGAGAGGUGAGUGGAAUUCCUAGUGUAGAGGUGAAAUUCGUAGAUAUCGGGAGGAACACCAGUGGCGAAGGCGGCGAUCUGGACGGAUAUUGACGCUGAGGUGCGAAAGCGUGGGGAGCAAACAGG